CUGGCUCAGGAUGAACGCUAGCUACAGGCUAACACAUGCAAGUCGAGGGGCAGCAUUGGGUAGCAAUACUCAGAUGGCGACCGGCGCACGGGUGAGUAACACGUAUCCAACCUGCCGCUUACUCGGGGAUAGCCUUUCGAAAGAAAGAUUAAUACCCGAUGGUAUAAAGAGUUCGCAUGUUCUCUUUAUUAAAGAAUUUCGGUAAGCGAUGGGGAUGCGUUCCAUUAGAUAGUUGGCGGGGUAACGGCCCACCAAGUCUACGAUGGAUAGGGGUUCUGAGAGGAAGGUCCCCCACAUUGGAACUGAGACACGGUCCAAACUCCUACGGGAGGCAGCAGUGAGGAAUAUUGGUCAAUGGACGAGAGUCUGAACCAGCCAAGUAGCGUGAAGGAUGACUGCCCUAUGGGUUGUAAACUUCUUUUAUAAGGGAAUAAAGUGAGGGACGUGUCCCUUUUUGUAUGUACCUUAUGAAUAAGGAUCGGCUAACUCCGUGCCAGCAGCAGC
rnacentral:rRNA from 1 species